rnacentral:rRNA from 1 species
AGCGAACGCUGGCGGCAGGCCUAACACAUGCAAGUCGAACGAACUCUUCGGAGUUAGUGGCGGACGGGUGAGUAACACGUGGGAACGUGCCUUUAGGUUCGGAAUAACUCAGGGAAACUUGAGCUAAUACCGGAUGUGCCCUUCGGGGGAAAGAUUUAUCGCCUUUAGAGCGGCCCGCGUCUGAUUAGCUAGUUGGUGAGGUAAAGGCUCACCAAGGCGACGAUCAGUAGAUGGUCUGAGAGGAUGAUCAGCCACAUUGGGACUGAGACACGGCCCAAACUCCUACGGGAGGCAGCAGUGGGGAAUCGUGCGCAAUGGGCGAAAGCCUGACGCAGCCAUGCCGCGUGAAUGAUGAAGGUCUUAGGAUUGUAAAAUUCUUUCACCGGGGACGAUAAUGACGGUACCCGGAGAAGAAGCCCCGGCUAACUUCGUG